GGCUCCGCCCGCCGCCACCGCCUCCGCCCCGGCUAUAAAGGUCCGCCCUUUGGCCGGUCCGCUCCUCCUCUCUCCAUCCGGGCCGCGCCUCUCGCCUCCUUCAUUCAUCCUCCGCUCGUCCGGGUCGCGCCCUUUGGCUGUACCUCCGCGUGCUGGUCUCCAAUUCCAAGUCCAUCCGCCCGCUCGCGCCCUGCUCCCUCUCCGCCUGCGGGGCCGCGCCGCUCCCCGAGGACGCGGGCGGGCGCCCGGGGCUCGGCCAAGUGGCGGGCGACCGGCGGCGGGGGCACCAGCGUCGUGCGCCAGCUGCAUGCGCGCGCUCGUCCUCGACUCGUUCCUCUCCUCCUCUCGCGUCCGGUGAGGCGACUCGUCCUCGAUUCUUGCCUCUCCUCGUGUCGCGUCUGGUGAGGCAAUUCGUCCUUGAUUCAUGCCUCUCCUCCUCUCGCCUCUGUUUCUAUGUUGCUCGUCCUCGCUCGAUUCGUCCGUUUAGAGUAGAAGAAUCGCGUCUGGUUUGUUUCAUUUCGCUCGUCCUCGAUUCGACUGUCUUGAAGCGCGUCUGAUUUUAUCGGUUUUGCUCGUCCUCGAUUCGUCCGUUUAGUUAGAAAUCGCGUGCGUCUGGUUUGACUUGCUCGUCCUUGCCGUCGCCCGUUUAGAAGCGCUUCUGAUAUGAUUUUGCUCGUCCUCACUGUCGCCCUGAUGUUGUCGCGUGUUCUUGGGGCCGUCUCGUCGGGGGUCUCCGUCCCUGCGACUUUAGGAGGAAGCGAGCGAGCGGUCUGUCGGUUUGGGUCACCGUCUUGUUUGCGAGCUAGCAGGUCUGUUUGAGAAACUUGUGCGUGCGCUGCUGUUAUCUGACGAUCCCGGGUUUCGUUUUCGCGGUGGGAGCGAUGGUUCCUGCGUUUCUGGUUGAGAAACUUUGCGUGCGCUAUCUGACGAUCUUGCGUUUCGUGUUCGCGUCGGGGAGACGGUUGCAGGAACGAUCGGUUCUGGUUUCGAAACUGGAGCAGUGUCAAAUCGGUUCCUCUGUUCCUCUGAAACUCAUGCGCCCUUGUGAUACUCUGGUGAUUCUUGUUCUACCGCCAGGCGUGUGUGCUCCCAUCCUAGACGCAGCGAAUCUUUUUCUUGUCUGUUACGGUUGUUCUGAUGGUGUUCUUUUCAACUUGUUUCUUGCUAUCAUGCUUUGCUUAUGUUCCAAUAUAUGAUGAUGUGUGUUCAACUUGUUUCUUGUUAUCUUGCUUUGCUUAUGUUCCAAUAUAUGAUGAUUCGUGUUCAGGUGUGCAAACCAUGUAGGCCGUGGGUACCGUGAUGCGAGGCUUCUCUCCUGCUGACAAAUUAGGAUGAUCAGAAAAGCUUGACUCUUGUAGCAAUCACUUGCUUGGUUUACACUUCUUUGCGUGGCCGAUUUGGCAUCCAAUGCAUCAUAAUCACAUUUUCCCUGUUUGUUUUCAUAUCCAAUGCAUCCACUCAUCAGUUCCCUGUUUGUUUUCCCUUGUUUUCCUAAUCAAUGAUCAUGUUUACGGUGUGCGACAAUACUGCAUUUCUACUGUUCUUUCUUCCCUUUUGAAGUUCGCUGAUUCAAACCUGAUGUGGAAGGAAGGAAUAUUGAUAUCAUUUCUGUGUUAGUAUACUAGCCAUGGUGUUUUUUUUCAAGUUAUUAACCAUAUCUCUUACUCCCUCCGUAAACUAAUAUAAGAGUUUUUAGAUCACUAGUUUAGUUAUCUAAACGCUCUUAUAUUAGUUUACAGAGGGAGUACAAAUUUGCCUUGAGAUGCUACAUGUUUAUAUGGCAUCAUUGAUUGCUGUUUGUGUAUGGUUAUUACGAUUGAUUGAUUGAUUGUUGUUUGUUGUUUGUUGACUGAUUGAUUGAUUGUUGUUUGCUGUUUGUUGAUUGAUUGAUUGAUUGUUGUUUGUUGAUUGGUAUCGAACUUUGGUAUUGGUAGUUUCUGAUCAUAGGUAACUGCACUAUUCUUUUCUCUCAGCUUUGUUGUGAUUAUGUCUUAUGUGGAUAUCCUUUCUUUUUUCUGUAUUACUGCUGUCCAGUCACUGGAAUGACGCUUUUCUAAGUAUUUAAGGUACAUACAUGUGGAUCUGGACAUGUCACAUUUGCUCUUUAUUGUGUUGCGAAGGAGGGUUGGCAUAUAGCGCAGCCGUGGAUCGCUCAUCAACCUGAUGAACUCUUUCUGGAUAGGACAGAGGUACAAUGUUUGCAUCCAUGGCAGAAGGUUCUUAUGAUUGUUCAAAGGUCCUUGCUCAUCAAAGGUCCUUAGACUCAAGAGGAAGGUGACAAAAUUAUUGAUCUUGUAAGCAAGUAUGGACCAACAAAAUGGUCUCAUUGCAAGGUCCUGGAUGUAUAGGCUAGCAAUGUCAAGAGAGUUCUUCUCACCUAUAGCUGAAGUCAAAGACGACAAACCAGGUGAAUUAUUGGAGUUGCAAGAUACACAGAAUCAUCUGUCAUCUGAAUCUUCUUUUGUAAAUAUGACUGCUGGUGCUGCUGAUGGCGCUAGCCAUCGGCUUGGAACUGAUGAGAGUCAACUGCUGUUGCCAACUUGAAACAUAUAUUUUUUAGGUAUGAAUGGCUUACCUCUCCUCCUCUCGCGUCUGGUGAGGCAAUUCGUCCUCGGUUCGUGCCUCUCCUCCUCUCAUGUCUGGUGAGGCAAUUUGUCCCCGCUGGAUUCGUCCGUUUAGAUUAGAAGAAUCGGUCUGAUUUGUCAUUUUGCUCGUUCUCGAUUCGUCUGUCUUGAAGCGCGUCUGAUUCGAUUGAUUUUGCUUGUCCUCGAUUUGUCCGUUUAGAUAGAAAAUCGUGUCGAUGUUGCCCUGAUGCUCUCACAUGUUCUUUGGGUCGUCUAGUCAGGGGUCUGCGACUCUGGGAGGAAGCGGGCGGGCGAGCGGUCGGUCGGUCUGGUUUGCGAACUAACAAGUCUGUUUGAGAAACUUCUGUUCCUACGUUUCGUGCUCACGGUGAGCGAUGGUUCCUGCGUUUACUUGUGUGUGCGCUUCUGUUAUCUGACGAUCCCGCGUUUCGUGUUCGCGUCGGGGCAACGGUUGCAGGAACAAUCGGUUCUGGUUUUGGAAAUUGGAGCAGUGUCGGAUCGCUUCCUCUGUUCCAUCACCUGCGUUGUUCGUCGGUUAUUUUCAUAUCUGAAACGCAUGCACUUGAUACUCUGGUUGCCCUAUGUCAAUUCUUGUUCUACCGACAGGCGUGUGUGCUCCCAUCCUAGAUGCAGAGAAUCUUGUUGUGUCUGUUACGGUUGUUCUGUUGGUGUUCUUUUCAACUGGUUUCUUGUUAUCAUGCUUUGCUUAUGUUCCCAUAUGUCACGAUUGAUUCAUUGUUGUUUGAUUGAUUGCCUUGACAUGGAUUGUUGUUUGUUGUUUGAUUGAUUGCCUUGACAUGGAUUGUUGUUUGUUGUUUGAUUGAUUGCCUUGAGAUGGAUUGUGUUUGUUGUUUGAUUGAUUGCCUUGAGAUGGAUUGUUGUUUGUUGUUUGAUGAUUGAUUGCCUUGAGAAGGUAUGUACCAUGUAGGCCAAUUGAUUGCUGUUUGUUGCCUUGAGAUGUUACAUGUUUAUAUAACACGAUUGAUUACUGUUUGUGUAUGGUUAUUAAGACUGAUUGCUGUUUGUGUAUGGUUAUUAAGAUUGAUUGUUGUUUGUUGAUUGAUUGAUUGUUGUUUGUUGAUUGGUAUCUAACUUUGGUAUUGGUAGUUCCUGAUCAUAGGUAACAGAUCUAACGCUUUUCUUUUUUCUGAACUUUGUUGUGAUUAUUAUAUGCCUUCACAUUGCACUGCUCCCAGAUCCAUAUCGACAUGCCCACGCUGUCUGAUGAGGAUAAAGAUGUAAGGAACUCAUCCCUAGAAUCUCUCAUGCUCCUUGUAUUAACUUGGCGACUAGAUUUACAUGUUAAAUUAUUAUUUUCGUGAAACUGGAGCUCCUUGUUGUAACCCAUUAUAUGACUUUAUGAGCGUGCACCAUUUUCAGGUUAUGAAAAAAUGGGGAAAACAAGAUUGACUUCCUCUCUCUUUCUUAUACAAGGAAUGCAGAAGAUGUGCGUCAAGCACGGGAGUUCCUCUCAAAGUUAGGUGAUCUUAGCCAAGCUCUGAUUUUUGUCAAAAUUGAGAAUGUAGAGAGCUUGAACCAUUUUGAUGAGAUCAUGGAAGAAGCAGAUGGUACAUUUCUGUCAGGAUGAAACCAUGGAAUUAAUUGAUCUUCCACCUGAAAAGGUGCGGCCUGCUAUCAAAGUUAAGGCUUCGGUCGUCAUUUGCUUCACCUCAUCUGGACGGGCUGCAAGGCUAAUUGCCAAGUACAGGUCCACCAUGCCAUUCCUCGUCUAAAAACAAAUCAAUUGAAGUGGAGCUUCACAAGCGCAUUUGAAGCAAGACAAUUACUCAUAGUUAGAGGCCUCUUUCCCAUGCUAGCUAAUCCACAUCACCCGGCUGAAUCUACUAGCACUACAAAUGAAUCAGUGUUGAAGGUUGCUCUUACCUUAGCCAGAAUUUCUAUAAGAAUGUUGCUCAUGUUACAUGCCUUCCUUUCUCUAGUAAGUAGAACAAGAAUACAUUUAAUAUUUCUUUUAUGUCCAUAUGCGUACGCUCAUGAUAUUUUGAAUUAUAAACCAAAUUCUAAAUAAAUAAGCAUGUGUCUCUGUUGUGGGUAGUGAAGAAGAUAAUCACUUAAUGAGCCUCUAACUAGCUUCCUAUUUUCAGGAACGAAGAUCAGUUUACUCAUUCAAGUUCUGGAAUUCUUUAUAACUUUUUGAGUUUACUCCGGUCUUGCAUGUAUUAGCUCUGUUUGUGCCCCUAUCUAUGUCAGUUUCUUGUGUGCAAAGCACUCCUUUAUGUGUGUGUGACUCUGUGUGGCUUGACUGUGUGUGUGUGUCUUGACUGUGUGUGUGUGACUGUGUGGCUUGACUGUGUGUGUGACUGUGUGUGGCUUGACUGUGUGCGCGCUUGACUCUGUGUGUGUGAUUGUGUGUGAAUAUUGCAUUUGCUUGAUGGUGUGGCUUGUAUGCUUUGUUGAAUGAUUGGUUGUAUAACUUGUGUUUUAUAU